CUUUAUUAUAUGAUUUAGACCAAUGUGAUGUUGAGUUAGAUUACUAAACGAGGCGAUUGAGAAUCAUUUAGAGGGCAUUUUCAACAUAAUCUCACAGAUCUCUUGCCGUGGGACUUGGAACUCUUAGGUGAAGACGAUUCCAUCCCACCUGCAAGAAGGCCGUUCUUCCUGACGAUGAUCUCAUCCCCAAGCUCCUCCCACAAGCCUUUAAGGAUUUUGUCAUCCCUGAAGCUAGACAGUUCAACUCGGUGGAGCACCAGUCGAGAAGCUGGACAAGGAAAGCUCGCGCAUGCGUACGCCAUCGUCCAGGGCAACGCGCUAGAGAAGAUCCCGAACGAGAUCAAGUUUGAGGCGGGUCCAGACAGAGAGGGUGUAUGGCCAAGAGCAUGAGCAAGUACUUCGCCAUGGACCGGGUCGAGAACAAGGCCAGCAAAGAGAAGGCCAUGGGAAUGUUGAAAGCCAUAGAAGCCCAUCUCUUGCAAAACGCUGAUGCUUACGAUUGAGUUGUUGUUACAUGUUGGCUGGAUCUUUCCAUCUCCCACCAUAAUUUAUGUCUUCAUUCGUGUCUCUUUCAAGAAAAAUAACAAUCGAGACUGAACCGUAACUAUGUUUUGAAGCGGUAGAUAUGCUGCAUGCUGUCAUCAAAGACGCUUGUCAAACAUCUUGUAAAGAUCUCGGCAUUCUUUU